UCUAUGGAGAGUUUGAUCCUGGCUCAGGACGAACGCUGGCGGCGUGCCUAAUACAUGCAAGUCGAGCGGACUGAUGGGGAGCUUGCUCCCCUGACGUCAG
rnacentral:rRNA from 1 species